rnacentral:rRNA from 1 species
UGCCGGCGACCGGCGGACGGGUGCGUAACGCGUAUGUAACCUACCUUUGACAGGGGGAUAACAUCGAGAAAUUGGUACUAAUACCCCAUAACAUCACCGGAGGCAUCUUCGGUGGUUGAAAACUCAGGUGGUCAGAGAUGGACAUGCGUUGUAUUAGCUAGGUUGGUGAGGUAACGGCUCACCAAGGCGACGAUACAUAGGGGGACUGAGAGGUCAACCCCCCACAUUGGUACUGAGACACGGACCAAACUCCUACGGGAGGCAGCAG